GGAAAGUUUAACACGAGCGGUACUUGAUUGACCAAAGCGGUUAAAUGUGGCGGGACUGUUUAAAACGAUGGCAGGGUAAUCCCUAAAACAUUGUAACACGCUAGAGUUAUACAAGUAUAAAAGGCGCCCUUGUAACUAGCUAGGAUCGUGGGCAUUCUGAACCUGACCGUAAAGCUGUUCAAAUAUUUGAGGAGACUGAUCCGAGUUAACUUUAAGGAAAAAA